CUGGAUCUAAAAACUUCGAAUGACAAACAGUUUAUAAUGUACAUACGUAUCUAAGUGUGCUGCUCUCACAUGUGUGUCUUCAGAUGGGAAAGACGACAGGUCUCCACAGAAGGAUGUUGAAAGUCCCUUGGUUCUUCAGUUCCAGCUCCAGUUAAAGUGGGGGGAAAGAAGAGGCCUCCUGCUUUCUGUGACAUAGGCUGUAGAACCUAUUAUGGGAUGAACGAGGACAGACAAAAACCGUCCAUUCUGAAGCACCAAGAUCUAGAUCCAUGAAGAUGAACAUGAUAGCCAUGAUCAGCCAUUUAAACAUGUCCAUUGUAGUAUAAAAUGAAUUCAGACAAGACUGUAGGAAUAACCCACACAUGAUAAGCUUCAGCUCCGGCAUUAGUGUAACUGAUUUGUUUGAGAAAAGAGACUGGUCUGUAUCUCUACAAACAGGUAGCACAGUAGUGCAGUAGAGGAUUUAGCACACCGUAUUUAGCACAGUAGAGAAAUACUCAUUAGUCACUCGAUUGCACUAUUAA